CUCUACCGGAGGCUCUCGGGCGGCGGGCGCGGGCCUGCUCCUGCGGCAGGGAGGCGGGCGGCCUGGAGAAGCGGCUCCGCUCGCGAGGAGCCUCGGAUGGGGAGUGCGGUGGACCCCCAGGAACUCUGGAGCACCCUCCCGCCCCCAAGCCAAGUCCUCCUUAGCGAACAACCGGGGCCGAGUUCCAAGAUAUCACCGGUGCUGAGGGGACCGAGAUGAGGAUCCUUGGAUCCCCCAAAAGAGAACACCAGCUCUGGGAUCGCCAGGCCCUGGCUCAGCUCUCCACCCUGUAAUGAAAUGGCCAGCUAUCUGGGACAUUACUGUGUGGCCACUAGCAAAUUUAAAAUUACUAUGCGACUUGCAUUCCAUUUAUUGAAGCCUCCCUUCCAGGCUUCAUUUUUGUUCUGGUAGAAGCUAUGUUUGGAUGCUGAAACCUUUAUUAUUUAUUAUGUAUCACUCCAGCUCUCCAGCUCUUCCAUCUCUUCUGCUUCUGCCGACCCCACAGAGGACCAGCAUGAAAGGAGAUCAUUAGGCUAUUCAGGGCCUCCCUCAGACUGCAGAGGUGGCUAAGAACUCCCUGCCCACAACCCCUGCCCAGGGUUACAUGGGGUUUUGAAAGCAUUAUUCUCCCCAAACAAAAACCACCUCUCCCAUUUGGACUGAAGGAUCCAUCCCUGAGCCCCUUGUCUCCUAUCUCCUUUUCAGUAGCCUCCUCGCCAUCAGAACUGUCACUCCCGCUGCCAUCAUCCUCUCCUUCAGCACCAUCUCCAUUCUCAUCACUCGCAUCACCACCACCUCACACAGAACCAUCUGCAUCCUUCUGCUCACCCAGUGGACCCUCUUCUCCCUGUACCCAGGGAGGAACCCUAUCAGCAUUUGCUGCCUUUGAUGCUGCAUCCAAACUCUAAGCCCUCCUGAGCUAAGGAUUUUGCAUGGCUGGGCUCCCAACUGUAUUCUGGCAGCUGGGCCCCAUGGCAGCCAGACUGCAGGGCUCAGAGAAACAACCAACAACCCUGGGAAGGGGUGAAGGCCACAUGCCCUGCAGAAGAUGGUCCCGUCUUAUUGCAUUAGAAAGGGACAGUGAAGAAGAGUGACCAAAUGAGGGAGCAAGAAACCCCCAGCUUACCUCGCAUAGGGACCACGGUUUACUUAGCAAGGAAGAACAAAACGGAACAACAGCAAUAAUAAUAGCUAAUAUGUAUUGCUUAUUGGCUGGGUGCCAGACUCCAUGCUGAGUGCCGAACAUGCAUUGUUCAUCAGAUCUCCACAGCACCCCUAUGUGGCUUAGGUCAGCCAACUUCCCAGGCGCUGGAGGCAGCUGGCAGCAGAAAGGCAGUGACGCUCAGGUCAUUACAUGUUAUUGCUUCAGCAGCACUAAAAGAAAAAGACACAACAAAGACACAACCGCACCACAGCCCUGGAAUUCUCUUUUCUUCAGCUCCUGGAUUUGGGCAUCAAUUUUUUUUUUCUUGGCUUUGAACAAAGCCUCUAAUUUCCCGACAACCAAAAUGCUGUCUCCAGGGUAUGUGCACCCUGCCAGAGUGGCAGACAAUGCAUCGCAGCCUUCCCUCUGCACAGGUGGGGGUACAGGGACUCGCUGUUCUCACAGCUCUGGGCCCCAUCCCCACCACAAUUUUUUUUCCUGGGAGGGGCUCCCCAACCCAAAGGGUGGGGACUCCUAGAAAGAAUGGCAAUUUCAAGUUGUUUACAAUCUCCACAUAUCAACCUCCUCUCUGCCUUGUGUGAGCAAGGUCAGAAAGCACAGAAGACCAUGUACAGGGUCCCAGUUCCUUUCCUCCUGGCUGCGUGGCAUCUCUUCAGCCCCAGGCUUAGAGCAUUGAAUUAUUCACAGAAGCCAAAGUCAUGGCUUCCCUUGGGUCACCCACUCAAGAAUGUAAACCCCCUGACUCUCAGAAAGGUCUUACUUAUUGCUUGGACUCCUGUGGACCUGUGUGCAGCUGCAAACACACGCAUGGCAUGCACUCAUCACAUACGGACAGGUAGGACAGAGACACACAGUCACACUGACACGUGUUCACACAGAAACAGUCACAAGUUCACAUGGAAACACUGACACAUGGUCACACAGUCACACAAUCACACAGACACACAGUCACAAUGACACAUGGUCAUGCAGAAACAGACACAUAGUCACACAAACAGUCACACAGAAACAGUCACAGUCACGAGGUCACUUGGAGACACUGACACAUGGUCACACAGUCAUACAAUCACAUAGAAAUACAGUCACACUGACUGUUCACACUGACACACAGACACAGUCACACACACAAUCACACAGAAACAUAGCCACAAGUUCACAUGGAAACACUGACAUGAUCACACAGUCACAAAAUCACAUAGACCUACAGUCACACGGACACAUGGUCACAUAGAAACACAGAUACAUAGUCUCACAAACACCCUGUCACACAGAAACAUUACACAGUGACAAGGUGACAUGGAGACGUUGAUACAUGGUCACAUAGAUACACAGCCACAUUGGCAUGCAGUCACACAAUCAUACUAACACAGUCACACAGAAACACAGACACAGUCACACUGACACAGUCACACAGAAACAGUCACAAGUUCAUAUGGAAACACUGAUACAUGAUCACAUGGUCACACAAUCACAUAGACACACAGUCACACUGACACAUGGUCACAUAGAAACAGACACAUAGUCACACAAACACACAGCCAUACAGAAGCACUACACAAUCACGAGGUCACGUGGAGACGCUGAUACAUGGUCACACGGUCACACAGACACACAGUCACACUGACACACAUUCACACAGAACACAGACACAGUCACACAGUCACAAGGUUACACGAAAACACUGACACGUCAUCACACACACAGUCAUAAGGUCACACAGAAACACUAACAUACAGUCACAUAGUAACAAAGUCACACAGACACACAGUCACAAAGUCACAUGGAAACACUGACACAUUAUCAUACAACCACACAGUCACAGAGUCACACAGGUACACAGUCACAGGGACACACAAGCACACAGUCACACAGUGUGUAAGGACUUCUCUGAAUGGCUUUGAUCCCGAGGCCAGGUGAGAGAUUAAGGGGGAAAGGG
rnacentral:lncRNA from 1 species